GCGAGGGUGGCGGAACUGGCAGACGCGCAAGACUUAGGAUCUUGUGCCUCACGGCGUGGGGGUUCAAUUCCCCCCCCUCGCA
rnacentral:tRNA from 1 species